UAAUGGUAAGGAUAAUUCAUCACUGGGAAGGGAUAUCCACUCUUUUAUAUUAUCUAUCCAACUUUUCUUCUGACAGCCACGAUGUCGACCUCUAUCUGGCGUGCCCUGGAGAACAGUCUUGCACAUAGAGUCGUGCCUGGUGACGUGUCAAAACCAAGCCAACUUUCGUCGUUUGACGGUCGCCAAUAGGAGUUCUUGUGGACAAACAAGUGUUGCAGUCAUUUUCCGGACGUACUCGUUGGUCUUGUGCUCCGUAUAGGAGAUGCGGAGCAGUCUUCGGGGACACAAAUGUUAAAAUGCCUGUAUUUUGCGUUUUGUGCCGGCGUGAAGCGUCCAGGUCUCGCAGCCGUAGAUUAGGAUGGAGACUACGAGGGACUUAAAAGGCCUGAAGCUUAUGGAACUGCUUGUCCACAACCUGCCCAGUCUGGUAAUAAAUGCUGUCGCCAUGGCAAUUCUUAUUCGGACCUAGGCCGUAAUGGUACCAUCCUUGGACAGGUUUGCGCCAAAUUACUUGAAGCUGGUCACUUUUUCUAGCUUCUUGCCGUUCAUGCUGAUAUCUGCACUGUUGUUGGUCGUGCUGAUUGGAGAUGGGUAUUCCAACGAUGGAGAUAGAGCUGUGGGGGUCAUUGAGGGUCUCCUGCAUUAUAUUUUCAAUAAAAAUGUUGAACAGGACGGGAAAGAGCAGACAUCCCUGACGGACGCCCACUGAUGUCCUGAAGAAGUCCCCCUGCUGUCCGUUGAAAAUUAUUGCAAAGAUGGCGUAUCCGUAGAGUUCUUGAAUGACUUGUACCAGACCUUCGUCAAUGUUAAAUCAUCUCAUAACAUGCCAUAGGCCAUCAUGCAGUUGUGGAAGAAGUCACGUUGGUGUUGCAGGUGUUUCUCAAUGAUGAUUCUCCAGUUUAAUCCAGCGCCAGCAGUUCCUCGGCCUUACUUUUCAAUCGAUUAAGGAUGAUGCGUAGCACAAAUUUGCUUGGAUGACUGAUUAGACUGCGGUUAUUCUCACACAACUUGAGGGUGUCCUUUUUGGUAGGGGUAUGACAAGGGGGACUGGGUCCACUCUUUGGGAAACUUCUUUUCAUCCCAGAUAUUUUGGCAUAUUGCCGCAAAUGCUACAGUUGUUGUCUCUCCACCGUGCUUAAUCAGCUCAGAAGGGACGUUGUCCACUCCCGGAUAUUGUCCUGCCUUAACACAGGCACUGCCUUCUCCACCUUAAGUAUGGACGGACUUUCGUCGUCCGCUUUUGAUCUGGGAUCGUUCUGAAGGAGACUGGAGUCCGAUUGAGGCGGAUAGUUGUAGAGGUCACUGAAGUAUUCACCUAAUCUGUUUAGGGCUGUGGCACCCCCGGUACGGAGAUUCCCGUCAGCGUCUGAUAUAACACUGGCCUUGGGCUGACUGGUCUUCGUGAGGGUCUUCAGGGUGCUGUAGACCUUCUUACUGCUGCCUGUGGUCAUCUCUUUGUAAAUGAUUAUACAUUGCUUAUCAUUCCUUUCAUCCUUGGCCUCUUUUAUCUUCUUCCUUACCUCCCAUAUAUAUAUGGAAAAUAUUAUAUAUUUGCAUAAUUGUGGGACGUUUCUACGCGCAGAAUUUACCCGGAUGUUACGAACUUAUGACGUAACGUCCAGACGACGUAUUUGACGUCACAUGUUUAUAGCUUAUGCUUACAAACGACAUCACAGCUCUGAUCUCCUUCGAUUAUGGUUCAAGAAAGAUACACAAACGAAUGUCUGACUCUGCAGAUCUCAGUGUCUGACCGCAAUCGGCGGCACGUGGUGACGUUAAUGGAAGGUAGCGAAACCAGGUGGUUCGCACAACGCCCAGAGGAGACCUCCGCGACGUUCUCAAUGAGAGGCGCGCGCGGAGCGGAAGUUCCUUUGGAGAUGAUACCCUUCAUUCUACGACUGAAUGUUGCGUUGGCAAGACUGGGGACUUGCGCCAGAGUCUCAUUACGAUGCGCGCGCAGUUAAAGUCUCAGUCAACCCACAUCCGGUUUUUGCAACUUGUCUGAUACUAUCAGCUGAGGCAAAAGCUGGGCGGUGUGGGGUUGGGAAGUGGCUCUUCCAUUCUGUCCUAUCUGCCUUCUCUCGUGCCUGUUUCCGCUCUCUCGCCUGAAGUCAUGGCACCGAUUGCUUCCACGCGUUUCUCAGACAAAGCGUCGAAGGAGGAGCCUGCUCUCGCUAACGGUAGGAGUGGGCGGAAGCGUCACUAUAGCUCCCCCUCUGACGACGGAGCACCGGAAGUAGUGGUAGACACCGCAGAUGAACCCCCUGCGAAGCGAGCCCGCCUCCAGGAGCUGUCACCAGUUUCAGCUCGUGUCCGCGGUGUAUUGAUUGAUUACUUUCACUGGAGGUCUAACCCCUACGUUUGGCAGAGAGAAGGCUAUAGAUGUGAACAGAGGAAGUCGAUCACGUGGGGCCGGGUCCCCUACACGUGGCGGAAGGAUCCGACCCCUGUUAGGCCCGCCACGUGUUACACAUGGAAGAGGCCGGACCCUUAGAGGGCGGCGAAUGCGCGUUGCACAUGUCGGCAUCAUUCGGUAUUCACAAAUCUCAUUGAAACUGUGAAAUAUUUUAAUUGAUGGGUAAAAUAACAUUAACUUAUAUUAGAAAUGAUCAAUUAUUAAGACUACAAAUGAAACAUAUUUUGGAACAGAGACGUUUAUUGAAAUAACUGUAAUGAAAUAUUGUUAAAUAGAUAUUUGUGAACACCGAAAACACCCCUGUCAUCCAUAUAAUACAAUAAAGGGAUGGCAAUGCGAUAACGGAGAAAAACAAAAGCCACGACAAAAACGAGAAUAUUUCAUGAAAAAUCAUCAUUAACUGGAUGCUGAGUACACAUGCAAACAAAAUUGUAAUGCUCGCAAAAGAACUUAUAUGAAAUAUUCCAAUAUUCUAUCAAUAUGUCUAUUAAUUCUACUAACGCGUAGUUAACUAACGUUUUUAAGGUUGUUCAAAUGAUAAAAUUGUAAGGUGUCACCUUUUCAUAUACACUACUUUAAAAGUGUGUUCAAUGUGUUGAAAGACUCCGUUAUCAGACGUGUCCUUUAUUGUGAACCCAAGUGUUUGCAUGAAUACUACUCAUUAAAACAUGCUAUUUAUUCAUAUUUCAUUCAACACAUUUAUUUUUUUAUUUUUAGCACACUAAAUCAUCUACAUGUUGGCCUAGCAAACAAAUUCUUGCAAUAUUCCAAGUACUUUAUUUUGUUGAACUGUGUACUGAUAAUCCAGGUCAUGCAUUUUUCCGACGGAAUUUUCUCAUUUUGUUUUUGCAAAAAUAUACCAUUCUUCCGUGAUUUUUUUUCCACAAUUCAUCGGCUAUACCAUUUACCAAUUCCACCAUGCCCCAUAUCUCAAAGUUUUAUGUUUAGAAUAUACAUUUAAAGAAAACUGAGGGACUCACCUCUUACGCAUGGCUUCUGUUUAUUUCUGUUAGCAAAGUGCCAUCUGUAUAUUGAAUGAAAUUGAUGACCAGUGUAGAUAAGUCCGAUAUACAUUUGCAUUUCAGUUAAUACCUUUAUAAACCAGUAUAACAGUAUUGUAUUGUAUUGAUCUACUAAAUACAUAGUUUAUUCUACAUCCAUUACCAGUAGGUAGACUAUGUAGGAAUCACAGUGUUCGUCUUUCUGUCCAUAAUCUUUUCCACCGUGCCUUCCACUGCAUAAAUAUAAUAAUAGUCACUCACAAUGAUCACAACUUAACCAUACAGAUUAAAGUUCAAAUACAAAAAUUGAUUGUGAAAAAAUGGGUUGUCCAAUCUCUAAUUUCCACUUGCAUUAAAGGAUAGCGUGGAAAUUUAUAACCAAGUGUUCUUGCAUAUGAUAUGGGUGUGUACCGUGGAAGAACAGAAUGGUUACUUUCUUGGUAUAUUUAUACUAACAAUAGUCAAAAAGUUGAAAUGUCAACUACAAAAUAUGGCUUGUCCGCUAAAUUUAUUAUUCAAGCAUUAAAAAUUUUGAGAUAACUUUGAGUUAAUGUUACACAUCUUGUAUAUCAUUUAUGCUCAACAAAUCAUUAAUUGGAAUUCCUUGAACAUUUCUCAAGAUUAUGAUUUCUCAUAAAUAGUCGAUGGUUCUUAUUUAUAUAAUAUAUGAUUGUAUGUCUAAGGCAAGGGUCACAUUUCACGUUCGUAAGAACGUGUAAUCUCAUACGCUUGCAUGUUCAUGUUAAAUGUCACAUUAUAAAAUUAAAUUAAAGAAUAUAAUUAAAAUAGUUUUUCUUAAAUUCCUUUUGCUUAGAAGAUUUUUGAAUCUCUUGGUAAAAAUUAUGGCUCGGUCAAGGUCACAUUAAAAUAAAGCAGCGUGUGGGGGUAAGAGUUAAUGAUAUAUUUAGUAACGGCUUCUGUAACAGAAGUAGUUUAGAAGGAUACUUAAAUUAGUUCGAUAGUAAGUUUGAUUUAGCUGAGGAUUUAGUCACAUAAGUUAGGUUUUCCAUUAUUUUGUUAGUUCUUUGUACAUUUUAUGAUUCCAAUAAAUUUUGUCGAAUGCCCAAUACAUGUUGUUAUUUCUGUAAGUGCAAUAAAUCGUCUUUGUUACUUGUAAACACUGCUUUUGCUUCAUAUCUCUUCUGAUUUUUAAUAACCGCCGUAAAUAAGCUUAGAGCUUGUUUAAAAAGAAACCUUAAGAAGACUAACACCACUACUCUUGCCCAAGAAAAAAACAAACCUGUACGAAGAACUAAAAUAAAUAUUAUUUUACAGUCAAUGACAAUAUUGAAGAAUUCUAUAAACAAGUGAAAAAACGGACGUAGUGCAAACUGAACUGUCAAUGCAUGCAUAUUUAUAACUCGUUUUACGUAUAACUAAUCUCUUAUGUAUGGAAAGCCAAAGGGGACCCCCGCUAAAAUACAUAUACUUAUAUAGUAAAUAUCGGGAUUGUCAUUUUUCGCGGAACUUUCACUUUCCGCGAAAAACCAAUGCCAGCAUGGCCAUAAUACACUACAUACAAAUCGAAAUCUAAAAAGCGCGGAACUUUCAUAUAUUUUCCGUCGGAGCAAUUAUUUUUCAACCCUGUAGAAAAAGCGGGCUCAAUUAAUCGCGCGGAACGUUAUUUAUCUACUCUGUACAAAUAGUAGUGUUUAAAAUCGCGCGGAGAUUGUAGAAUGCUAUUUUAAGAAGUCUAUUAAAGAGAGAAAAUCCAGUAAAUACCAGAUCCAAAAAGCGCGGAACACAAAUAUCGUCCGCGAAAAUUAAGCAUUGAAUUACUGUACAAAUCUCGGGUUGUUAGGUGUUAGAAUCCCUAGUUACCCGAAAAAUUUGAUUGGAUCCGAUACUUAGAAAUAACCAAUCAGAUACUUUGUAACAAAUGCAACACAAUCAGUGCGUUCAGUAAGUAUAACGUUUCAAGAUGGCGGAGCGAAUUGCAUGGUUAUUGUUUCUACUCGAUGGAUUCGCAGAUAAUUCGGAAAUAGAUCAGAUUGGGAUCAAUAACUGUAUUGCAUACGAUCAUUUACAUGUAUUACCAGGUUUGUAUUUGUACUUUUUUAAUAUUGUGUAAAACUAUCCGAUAAUAUGCAUAAUGUUGACAAUUGUUAAUUAAAUGAGCCGCGUUCUGAGAAAACUGGGCUUAAUGCAUGUGCGUAAAGUGUCAUCGCAGAUUAGCCUGUGCAGUCCGCACAUGCUAAUCAGGGAUUAUACUUUCCGCUUUUAUGGUAUUUUUAAUUUCAAGGAAGUCCCUCCUUACCGAAAAUGAAGUUUAUGCGGAAAGUGUCGUCCCUGAUUAGCCUGUGCGGACUGCACAGGCUUAAGCUAAUCUGGGAUGGGCGAUUAAAAUCGCGCGGAGAUUGGGCGAUUAAUCAAUUAUUUUAUUUAUUGAUAGAUCUUGCGUUUAAAUUCCCCUGUAUUCAGCACAAACCCAUAACCUCUUUAUGAUCAGAUACUGUGCAGACAAAUACUAAAUAACAACGUGAUGUCAUAAACCACAUUUUGUAGAUAUCUGGUCAUCUGGUCAUUUAACACAAUUAAUGACACCUCCAUGUGACCAUGGCGUCUCAUGGUUGUAGCAUUGCGUAGCUGUUUCUUGGAAUAAUUUAACGCCAAAUACUCAAUUGUUGCUUUUACUGAACAUAAAAGAUAUUGUCAACAUUGAAAGUCAUCUGUCCAAAAAGAUUGUCAGAAACUAAAUACUGUAUACAUAUUAGCCAGUUUUAUCAUAAUUAUAAAGUGCUUUAUACCUAUAUAUUUUUAAUAUUUCAAAAAUUUAAUGCUAAACAUUUGUGUCAUUUUCUUCUAUUUGAUAGGACUUUGUCUGAUGCUUGAUUCAACUCUUACACGUUCUAUAAUUCAUGAAAUUGUACACAUCCUACCUUUGAAAAUUGUAGUCUUACAAUACUUAGUAUUGUAUACUGCUAAUUUAUGACUUCGAUUUGUGCAAUAAUCGAUGUUUAGUCUUCAGACCACAUUUACUCUGAUGCUUAUGGGUAACUGGAAAUUGUAUGCCCCUGGAAGGGUGGCAUAUAGCAGUUGAACUGUCCGUCAGUCAGUCAGGAUGUCAGUCUGUCCGUCUGUCCGAAAAAAAAUUAACGCUGGCCAUUACUUUUGCAACAUUGAAGAUAGCAACUUGAUAUUUGGCAUGCAUGUGUAUCUCAUGAAGCUGCACAUUUUGAGUGGUGGAAGUUCAAGGUCAAGGUCGUCCUUCAAGGUCAAAGGUUAAAAAAAUAUAUGUAGAAUUAAAAGCGGCGCAGUAGUGGGCAUUGUGUUUCUGAUGAACACAUCUAUUGUUAUAUAUAAAGAUUAAAUAUAAUUCAUUAAUAUACACUAAUAGUACAUAACUUAUGUCCUUGAAUCAUUAUUUAGGUGUUAUAAUUUUUAUAUUUGAAUUACUUAUCAAUUUUUUUACUUAACACAGCAUGACAUGUGAUGGUUGUCUGUAUUCAUAUGUUUGACUUAAUUGUAACCAGUGUCAAGUGCGCAUUAUAAUCUUGAUAUUCAACGCAAUUUGCAUAGCAAAAGAAAAUGCAGUUCCACGUUCAGCCUUGUUCUGCAAUUCAACGCGUCAGGUGAUAUGAUUGAUAUCUAUAAAUAGUAUCGGUGUUCAUAUUGUGAAACUGGUCUAUUAUUCGAUACUGAUUAAUUUGAUGAAUCAAGUUAAUUUUUGUUAAAUACAUCUGUUAAAUAUUUAUGCCCCCCUCCGAAGAAGAGCAGGAUUAUUGUUUUGCACAUGUCGGUCCGAAUGUCCAUAUGUCUGUCCACCAGAUGGUUUCCGGAUGAUAACCCAAGAACGAUUUUGCCUAGGAUCAUGAAACUUCAUAGGUACAUUGAUCAUGACUCGAAGAUGACCCCUAUUGAUUUUCAGGUCACAAGGUCAAGGUCACAGUGACCCUAAAUAGUAAAAUGGUUUCCCGAUGAUAACUCAAGAACGUUUAUGCCUAGGAUCAUGAAACUUCAUAGGUACAUUGAUCAUGACUCGCAGAUGACCCCUAUUGAUUUUGAGGUCACUAAGUCGAAGGUCAAGGUCACGGUGACCCAAAAUAGUAAAAUGGUUUCCGGAUGAUAACUCAAGAACUUAUGCCUAGGAUCAUGAAACUUCAUAGGUACAUAGAUAAUGACUCGCAGAUGACCCCUAUUGACUUUCAGGUCACUAGGUCAAAGGUCAAGGUCACAGUGCCAAAAAACGUAUUCACACAAUGGCUGCCACAGCAAUUGACAAUCCAUAUGGGCGGCAUGCAUGUUUUACAAACAGCCCUUGUUUGAAAUUUAUUUUAUGACAUUAAAGUAAUGUAUAGGGAAUUUAGUUACCUACACAUUCUUUGAAAAGAAAUUUGAAUUGUAAAUGUAUACUUCAUUUAUUUUGUAGGAAUUCUGUACAACUGUGGAACCAUGUAUGGUACGUGACCGCACAAUGUUGGUUGGCAAAAGGAUAUUGGAAUAAGCAAAGGGACUCAACAUUACACAGUCAUUUCAACAUGUAGAGUCUUGUCAGCAAUGAUGGAGCAGUACUUCAGAUUUCCAGAAUCUCGUCAUGAGCUGAAGAUCAUUGCCUAUGAAUUUCCUGAAUGAUGUAGAAUGAUUGGACUGUUGAUGGAACCCACAGUGCAUGUCCUGCUUCAACAUCUGAGCAUAGGUCCUUGUUUAUCAGCAGUUUAGUUCUUCAAGCAGUCUGUGACAGUUACUUGAAAUGUUUGGACAUAUGACCUGGAUGGCCAAGUUCUGUGCAUGAUGCCCAUUUAAAUAGGAACGGCCCAGUGGCGCAUUAAAUGGACAUGUUUCGAAUGUUCUCAAGGAUUCAGCUUACCGCCUGACAAGAAAUCUUGCUUUUUGUUUAGUAUCGAGGCCAUGGACAUUUGUAUCAUUUGCAAAAGAUACUGCGAUAUUUGUGCCUUUGUUCAUGCUUUAUAGUUGAUUAACAAUUGGAAGCCAUAACCUGUUUUUAAGAUGGUGUUAGUGGGACAAUGAAUUUUGUAAAGAUUUAAAGACUGGAAAAGAUAAUUAAAAGUCAAAAGAGUUCUGCUAUUGUUAAGCAUGCUUUAUUGAUUUGUAAUGUUAGAAAGAUAGCAUUAUUAACAGAAUAAAAUGUCCAUAAUUUGAA